AUUAUUUUGGCAGAUUAGUGCAUUAAAUUUAGAAUUUAAUUAAAAAUAUUAUUAAUUUAAAUAAUA
rnacentral:tRNA from 1 species